rnacentral:rRNA from 1 species
GACGAACCGAGCGAACGUUGUUCGGAAUCACUGGGCUUAAAGGGCGCGUAGGCGGGCUGUCAAGUCUGGGGUGAAAUCCCGCGGCUCAACCGUGGAACUGCCUCAGAUACUGACGGUCUCGAGGGAGGUAGGGGCGAGCGGAACUGAUGGUGGAGUGGUGAAAUGCGUUGAUAUCAUCAGGAACUCCGGUGGCGAAGGCGGCUCGCUGGACCUCUUCUGACGCUGAGGCGCGAAAGCCAGGGGAGCAAACGGG